rnacentral:rRNA from 1 species
GACGAACGCUGGCGGCGUGCCUAAUACAUGCAAGUAGAACGCACAGUUUAUACCGUAGCUUGCUACACCAUAGACUGUGAGUUGCGAACGGGUGAGUAACGCGUCGGUAACCUGCCUGGUAGCGGGGGAUAACUAUUGGAAACGAUAGAUAAUACCGCAUAAUAUUGAUUAUUGCAUGAUAAUUGUUUGAAAGAUGCUAUUGCAUCACUACCUGAUGGAUUUGCGUUGUAUUAGCUAGUAGGCGAGGUAACGGCUCCCCUAGGCGACGAUACAUAGCCGACCGGCGAGGGUGAGCGGCCAGACUGGGACGGAGACACGGCCCAGACUCCUUCGGGAGGCGGCAGGAGGGAAACGUCGGCAAUGGGUGGAAGACUGACCAAGAUACGCCGCGGGAGGGAAGAAGGGUUUCGGGUCGGAAAGCACGGUUGUAAGGGAAGAACGGGUGUGAGAGUGGAAAGUACACACUGUGACGGUAUCUGACCAGGAAGCGACGGCUAACUACGUG